CGUAAAGGCUGCUAGGGUUCCGGCUGGGCAUUUGUCCGGUGGCUGGUCCGAGAGCAGCGGUCAUGCGGGAGACAUUCGCAUGAUGCACGGCGGGACAAAAGCCCGGGAGAG
rnacentral:sRNA from 2 species